rnacentral:rRNA from 1 species
UACGUAGGGGGCAAGCGUUGUCCGGAAUUAUUGGGCGUAAAGCGCACGUAGGUGGUCUGUUAUGUCGGAUGUGAAAGCCCUCGGCUCAACUGAGGAAGUGCAUCCGAAACUGGCAGGCUUGAGUAUGUAAGAGGGUCGCGGAAUUCCCGGUGUAGAGGUGAAAUUCGUAGAUAUCGGGAGGAACACCGGUGGCGAAGGCGGCGACCUGGGACAAUACUGACACUGAGGUGCGAAAGCGUGGGGAGCAAACAGG